UACAGUCUAUUUUCCCACUUCAGCAUGGAUACAAUGUAUGACACAUGGAGCCGCUUCUUCAGGAGAGCUGACAUAAAAACAAAGGUGGAUGUAGCGCUCUUGGUGAGAACAGAAGACACGUCCACUUGAGUUGUCAUCAGCAGCAGCAUCAGACAUGGACAGUUGGGAAGGAGGAGGAGGAGGAGGCAAGAGGUGCCGUCCUCAAAGACUUGCCUCCACACAGAGCACCUCCAUCCGCACUGCAAUCUCAUUCAGAGUGCAGGAACUGGAGGAACGUACAUAGAGAGGGAGAAUGAGCUCCAGAGCUGAGAGGGGAAAGAAGGGGAUGACAGGGAUGAGAAGGCGGGCCUCUUUGCUCCGGUCUCGACCACGGGUAUUCUUGGGUUGAUAAUACAGAUGUGGAUGUUAUUGCUUGAGAAUACGCGUAGUCGAGUGGAAGCUUUAUCAUCUACAGUGGACCAAAGGCUGAGGAGGUGACACGGACAUGGAGUGGAUUUUAAUUAAGCUGGGGUUAUAAAGGAAAAGGUUUAUUUUGUCCAAUCAGAAAGUAGGCUUUUUUUUGUUUUUUUUUAAUAGAACUCAAUCAGGGCUGGCUCAGAUCAAAUCCAGUCACUGAAAAGGUUUUAUCAUCCUAGGUUUAUCAUCCAUGUCACUCUUUACACCUGUGGAGGAAAUGAGUUUGAUGUUAGCCAUAUUCAGCCUCUCCUCUGGCGCUGGUGGGGAAGAUUUGCACCAUUCCCCUAAGCUAAACCCCCGGGAAUUAGUUAAGGGAGCUUAACAUAUAAGUCUCCUCACUCAGACGUUAAUUUCAAACCUUUUUGAUUACAUACCCUUGUCUGUCAGUCGUUCACACAGGUGAGCCCGUAAUCUUAUCAGCUGAUGAGUGUCUUUCACAGUCCUUCACACUGUGGGCUCAACAUUUCCGAACACUGGACAGAAAGUUGGAGUUUGCAAAAAAUGUUCGGCGUCUUUGAAAGCAAGCAGUUGUAAUAUUAUCUUGGCACUUGGGUGUUAUAAACACGCAUCAUCCCACUGUACUACAAACUACUCUUACACUCCUAUUUUUGUCUUCCCAGCUCUUGCUAAAAAUACGAGAGUUUUUGGUGCCUGUAGCAGCAACAGGACAGUAGGCGAACACAUGACGACAUGUCCAAGCUUGUGGAGAAACACACACACACACACAAUUGGCAUGAAGGUAUAGAUGAUGUACAUGUCAGUCGGGAAAGAGGGAAUAGAGUUGAUAGAAACAAGCAUGCGCAUAGAUCGGCAUAUGAACCCACACGUUUAAGCUGGGUUCACUGGGUCCAUGUGUUAGUGGGGAAAUAAGCGACUGAUUGAUUUUACGGGUAACUAUUUUUAGUCAGAAUGAUGGAUGUUUAUGUCUUUUAUUGAUCAAGUUGAGGUGUAGGUUGGAAGAAUUCUUAGAUGGCUGGGGCACGUUGCUGAUGAAUCAGGCAGCAAAAGUGUUACAAUAAAACAUCCCGAGGUAGUUUUUUUUUUUUUUUUUACAUUAGCAUUAUUGCUAAGUAUUAUAAAUUAGAAAAUCAACAUUUCAUUGCACAUUCAGCAUUUUAUUAGCAUCUGUUUGCAAAUGUGCCCGUGAUAAAUUACACCUUUAUCAUUUAUUAUCCGAUGAUUUCUUACAACCGCAUAAGCAAAUCUCUAAUUUAUUAGUGCAGUGCGCAAUCAUAAUUUAUUUGAAUUUCACUCCAAGGCUGUGUGAACUUGUUGAUUGGGCAAAGUAAUUUGUUUUGUUGUAUUUGUGAAUGUGUGUGUGUGUAUGUGUGUGUGUGUGUGCUUCUAAGCAACAAAAUAACUAUUGUGAGCACAGCUCCAGGUGCCUAGCAACCAAAUCGCUCUGUUUCCUUGGCAACAGUUGCCUUGCACUCACUGUGUGGGUGAUUGGCAGCCUUGACAACGGAGAUGAAGUGACACUUGACCUCGCGUGCUGAAUGGGAGAACAGAAAGAAUGAGGGAGAAAUAUAAGAGAGGGGGAGGAAGUGGGAGGGGAUGUGUGGAGACAGAGGAGAGACUAAGUGAUAAUCAUUCUCCAUUGUAAUCAUCCUCCAGCAUGUUUCAUAAGACUUUGUCAAUACCUCUCCAGCUGGGGUCCAUCAUCAAACACAAUACACAGUGCAGUGCAUGCAUGCACGGACACACUCUUCUUGGGUGGAGAGAGCCCAGGCAGCACUCUACAUCUCAUCUAUUAUCACUCAGCGCUGCCUGGUGCAGAGUCGUGCUACACUGUGUCUUCUUUCAUUUGUGAUCUGCUACAUCCUGCGCUCUGUGGGGAUAAAUUGAUACUGGACUCCAAAAAAAAUGUGUCAAGAGUCACAGAUGCCACAGGAGACAUGGUUUGACACUGUGAAACUUCCACCACAUGUAGUGUCCCUGUCUUUGACACCAUCAAAUCUAUAUUCUGUUCUAAUGCAUUUUAGGGGUUCUUAUUUAAUAUGAUGCUGGCUGAUGAAAUCUCAUCAGUUAAGAUGGAGACUAAUAAAAGCUUGAAGUUUGA